rnacentral:misc_RNA from 1 species
ACCAUGCCGGGUGAUAGAGCUGAAGUGCCCGAUCUUUCGGUGAGUGGAGAUAAUUUCGACUUGGUGGAAGUAGACCCUCACGAUCCGACUACGACGAGCGAACCCGUAGCGCCAAUGCAAUCGCUGAACCAACUCCCUGUGGUUACCGACCUUGCUGGUGCAAGAUCAGCCUGAUCACGAAGAUCGUUUCCUGUGCGCAAUCGA